ACGGAGGGUGCAAGCGUUGUUCGGAAUUACUGGGCGUAAAGGGCGCGUAGGCGGUACCGUAAGUCAGAUGUGAAAUCCUCCGGCUUAACCGAGGAACUGCAUUGGAGACUGCACGGCUUGAGUACUGGAGAGGAAGGGGGAAUUCCCGGUGUAGGGGUGGAAUGCGUAGAGAUCGGGAGGAACAUCGGUGGCGAAGGCGGCCAGCUGGACUGUUACUGACGCUGAGACGCGAAAGCGUGGGGAGCAAACAG
rnacentral:rRNA from 1 species